UACCAGGACCCCGAGUGGUCGGGACGAUUAUUGGGCCUAAAGCAUCCGUAGCCGGUUCUACAAGUCUUCCGUUAAAUCCACCUGCUUAACAGAUGGGCUGCGGAGGAUACUAUAGAGCUAGGAGGCGGGAGAGGCAAGCGGUACUUAGUGGGUAGGGGUAAAAUCCGUUGAUCCAUUGAAGACCACCAGUGGCGAAGGCGGCUUGCCAGAACGCACUCGACGGUGAGGGAUGAAAGCUGGGGGAGCAAACCGG
rnacentral:rRNA from 1 species